GAUGAACGCUGGCGGCGUGCCUAAUACAUGCAAGUCGAGCGAACAGAUAAGGAGCUUGCUCCUUUGACGUUAGCGGCGGACGGGUGAGUAACACGUGGAUAACCUACCUAUAAGACUGGGAUAACUUCGGGAAACCGGAGCUAAUACCGGAUAACAUAUUGAACCGCAUGGUUCAAUAGUGAAAGGCGGCUUUGCUGUCACUUAUAGAUGGAUCCGCGCCGUAUUAGCUAGUUGGUAAGGUAACGGCUUACCAAGGCAACGAUACGUAGCCGACCUGAGAGGGUGAUCGGCCACACUGGAACUGAGACACGGUCCAGACUCCUACGGGAGGCAGCAGUAGGGAAUCUUCCGCAAUGGGCGAAAGCCUGACGGAGCAACGCCGCGUGAGUGAUGAAGGUCUUCGGAUCGUAAAACUCUGUUAUCAGGGAAGAACAAAUGUGUAAGUAACUGUGCACAUCUUGACGGUACCUGAUCAGAAAGCCACGGCUAACUACGUGCCAGCAGCCGCGGUAAUACGUAGGUGGCAAGCGUUAUCCGGAAUUAUUGGGCGUAAAGCGCGCGUAGCGGUUUUUUAGUCUGAUGUGAAAGCCCACGGCUCAACUGUGGAGGGUCAUUGGAAACUGGAAAACUUGAGUGCAGAAGAGGAAAGUGGAAUUCCAUGUGUAGCGGUGAAAUGCGCAGAGAUAUGGAGGAACACCAGUGGCGAAGGCGACUUUCUGGUCUGUAACUGACGCUGAUGUGCGAAAGCGUGGGGAUCAAACAGGAUUAGAUACCCUGGUAGUCCACGCCGUAAACGAUGAGUGCUAAGUGUUAGGGGGUUUCCGCCCCUUAGUGCCGCAGCUAACGCAUUAAGCACUCCGCCUGGGGAGUACGACCGCAAGGUUGAAACUCAAAGGAAUUGACGGGGACCCGCACAAGCGGUGGAGCAUGUGGUUUAAUUCGAAGCAACGCGAAGAACCUUACCAAAUCUUGACAUCCUUUGACUGCUCUAGAGAUAGAGUCUUCCCCUUCGGGGGACAAAGUGACAGGUGGUGCAUGGUUGUCGUCAGCUCGUGUCGUGAGAUGUUGGGUUAAGUCCCGCAACGAGCGCAACCCUUAAGCUUAGUUGCCAUCAUUAAGUUGGGCACUCUAAGUUGACUGCCGGUGACAAACCGGAGGAAGGUGGGGAUGACGUCAAAUCAUCAUGCCCCUUAUGAUUUGGGCUACACACGUGCUACAAUGGACAAUACAAAGGGCAGCUAAACCGCGAGGUCAAGCAAAUCCCAUAAAGUUGUUCUCAGUUCGGAUUGUAGUCUGCAAUUCGACUACAUGAAGCUGGAAUCGCUAGUAAUCGUAGAUCAGCAUGCUACGGUGAAGACGUUCCCGGGUCU
rnacentral:rRNA from 1 species